ACACAAACAAAAGGCCCCGUUUACACCGGAAACGGACAAAAAACUAGUUUCUACACUGUCGAAAUUAGGAAGUUUUACUACCGUUUCUUCAGGUGGUGUGGGGAAAGCUAUAAUGAACAAUGACUCCCUAAUCAACAAACUGCUGUGUUUCAUGAAACAGCAAGCAGAGGUAUGGAUUCCAAGGCACUCCCGUAUGUGUCACAUGGCCAGAGAAUUUGGUGAAAAGAGGAGGAAAACAUGGGUUUCAAGGAAGACGUUUUGGUUUGCUGGCUGGGAAAGAGAAGAAUGCAUUGGAGGCACCUGCUGGCAGCUCUGACAGAACAGGAUAAAUCACUACCUGGGCCAAAUGUAAUUGUACUGCAUGCUGGGAAAUGAUGUUACGAGUAGCCCAUUGUUAUAUCUCAGAAACAGAAUUUGCCAUUGAUGGGCAGAUCCAAUAGUAAUAGCCAAAUAUAAAACUUGAGUGGUCAGAUAUAAUUCAAAGACCAGUCUGGCAGGGAGCAAAUGACAUCAAAGCAGUAGAGAGGGUUAUGAAACUGGCUAACAGAUUCAUUUGACAGCAGGUAGUCGAGCUAAGGGGACAGUUGGUACACCAUACUAAUAUUUAAUAUCAUUUUUCCAGAACUUUCUGUGAAUUAGGGGGUCUACUUGUCACAACUGAGGACCAAGUUAUUUAUGGUAAACCCUAAAAAAGGAAUCAAAGAGGUGGCAUAUGUGCUUGAGGGAAAAGGCAGGACAAGCUAUCUUCCUGUGAUGGAAGGACAGACUUGGAAGGCUAAAUUGCAAAGGAAGUGACUGGGCUUAGGGAAGAUUCAGGCUCAGACAGCUUGGCUGUUCCCUGGGUGGCCUGCCCCAUGGUGUAAUGGUCAGGCUGGGGGGGGGGGACAAUCUGGGGUCUCGUGAUAGAUCACCUUCAGACUGUCAGUGGUUGGUUGUGGGUCCCUUCAGCCACAAUGGUGUUAGUUGAACAUUUACAGGGACUACGUGUUGUAAUUUAUGGCCUGGCUGACUUUGCUUCCAUCCAGGUUCUGCCCUUUUUGUACAUAUGAAUAUUCAUACUUGAUAUUGAUUUGUUGUAAUUGGCUUUGAUUUUGCUCUAGCACUGACUUGAUUCAUAAUUUAAUUUGAUUAGCACAAUAAAUACAUGGCUGCAGCCAUUUCUUCCAA